UACGUAGGGUCCGAGCGUUUGUCCGGAAUUACUGGGCGUAAAGAGCUCGUAGGUGGUUUGUCGCGUUGUUCGUGAAAACUCACAGCUCAACUGUGGGCGUGCGGGCGAUACGGGCAGACUAGAGUACUGCAGGGGAGACUGGAAUUCCUGGUGUAGCGGUGAAAUGCGCAGAUAUCAGGAGGAACACCGGUGGCGAAGGCGGAUCUCUGGGCAUUAACUGACGCUGAUGGACGAAAAGCGUGGGGGAGCGAACAGG
rnacentral:rRNA from 1 species